rnacentral:rRNA from 1 species
AUUGAACGCUGGCGGCAGGCCUAACACAUGCAAGUCGAGCGGAUGAAGGGAGCUUGCUCCUGGAUUCAGCGGCGGACGGGUGAGUAAUGCCUAGGAAUCUGCCUGGCAGUGGGGGAUAACGUCCGGAAACGGGCGCUAAUACCGCAUACGUCCUGAGGGAGAAAGUGGGGGAUCUUCGGACCUCACGCUAUCAGAUGAGCCUAGGUCGGAUUAGCUAGUUGGUGGGGUAAAGGCCUACCAAGGCGACGAUCCGUAACUGGUCUGAGAGGAUGAUCAGUCACACUGGAACUGAGACACGGUCCAGACUCCUACGGGAGGCAGCAGUGGGGAAUAUUGGACAAAGGGCGAAAGCCUGAUCCAGCCAUGCCGCGUGUGUGAAGAAGGUCUUCGGAUUGUAAAGCACUUUAAGUUGGGAGGAAGGGCAGUAAGUUAAUACCUUGCUGUUUUGACGUUACCAACAGAAUAAGCACCGGCUAACUUCGUG